UGGGCCUACGGGAGGCAGCAGUGAGGAAUAUUGGUCAAUGGGCGGAAGCCUGAACCAGCCAAGUCGCGUGAGGGAAGAAGGCCCUGCGGGUCGCAGACCUCUUUGGACGGGGAGCAAGGCCGCCGACGUGUCGGCGGAAGGAGAGUACCCGUAGAACAAGCAUCGGCUAACUCCGUGCCAGCAGCCGCGGUAAUACGGAGGAUGCGAGCGUUAUCCGGAUUUAUUGGGUUUAAAGGGUGCGUAGGCGGGCUUUUAAGUCAGCGGUAAAAAUUCGGGGCUCAACCCCGUCCGGCAGUUGAAACUGG
rnacentral:rRNA from 1 species